GCUCCCCUGUGGCGGGGGGCGUGGCGUGCGGCUCGGGGUCGCGUUUGUCACCUGCCCUGGNGACNCGGAGCGCCCCGGGAUACUGGGACUACUCCGUGAUAGGUCAUCUCAUCUGGGAAGGAGAGAUGGCUUACAGGGUCGCGCGGGCUUCUUCCGCGCGUUCGCUUCAGGAUGGGACUGCGUCCGAUCAGGCUGUUGGCGGGGUAAUGGCCCACCAAACCUGUAUCCGGUACGGGCCUUGAGAGAGGUGGCCCGGAGAUGGACUCUGAGAGAAGGGUCCAGGUCCUACGGGGCGCAGCAGGCGCGAAACCUUCGCAAUGCGCGAAAGCGUGACGAGGUUACUCCGAGUGGCCUCCGCUGAGGAGGUCUUUUGUCAGCUGUAUAUAGGCGGGCGAAUAUGGGGAGGGCAAGCCUGGUGU
rnacentral:rRNA from 1 species